CUGCGUUUUCUCUUUAUUGACAAGAUAACUUCUGAAAAGAGCUGAAAAAAAUAAUUUCGCAUUGGCAAUGGAAAGUCAAGCACUAUGGGAGCACUAGUGCAUUAUGGGAUACUUUUAAGGGCUCAUUAUAGUUUUACGUAGGUCCUACGGCAUAGCCUUGACGGCGUAGGCUACGACCUGCAAUUACACAUGCAGACAACUAGGAGGCAGUGUCCACUCCGGAAACCCACAGUAGGACGCAAGGGGUUCUUGUGGACCAAUCACAGCGUUUGUGGUCCGUGUAGAACAGACGCGUUGUUAAAAUUUUAGCAAGGUGCAUGUCAGGCUACGAUGUAGAACCUAUGCACUUUACACUUUAGUGAAGUCCAAUAGCCUACUGUAGUACACUGCACAUCUGGGUAGUGGUGUGGUAGUUAAAACCAAUCACAAAGAAACAUUAACCCGAUAGUAACUGCCCACAACUACUGCACCUGAGUCCCCUACAUAUCUUCUCAGUGUCUUCUCAAGGUGACGAUGGGUAACCACCUGCUGGUGGUAACCCAUCUUUAACCUACACCCUUUUAUUCCCUUCCUUUAUCAGCUCAACCCCAACAAACUCUCAUGCAUUAUCUUGCAGAUUGAUUGGCUAAAGACCGAUCAAUCAAACGUGACUGAUUUUCUCCCCGCCCUCCAACCCUCGUGGCGCGGAAUGGACCAAUCGCUACCCAUGCUCGGGAAUUUCCACUCUCAUUGAUCAGCGCGUGCUUUGACGCAGUCACCGUCCACCCUCCGGACAUCACGACCGACAACAGCAGGUCAAAAUGACACAGACAUCGCAUGCAUAUAGAAUAUAAUAUAUAGAUGAUAUCGUUUGAAGGAGACUGUGGCCUCGCGCAUCUCCACCUCGCGUGGUGCGUCACAGCAUCGCCAUAUAUUUUCACACUGACUGGAACAAAUUGUCUCAUGAUAAGACUUUUAGAUUGCAAAUCGGGUCAUCGCAAGGUCAAAAUAACACGGACUGGAUGCGUUUGGUGACAUUAAAUCUGGUCUCCAUAGCAACAGCUGCUAAGUAACCUUGCCCCCAAUCAUGUCAGUAAGACAUUGAGAGAAUGAUGGAGUUGUGGGGUUGAAGGACGUGUUUAAUUAACCUCUCAAAGCCAGGAAUUCUCAUUGCAGUCCCAGCUGAGGACUCAGCCAAUCAGUGAAGAGAUGCUGUGAAUGUCCUUGCCAACGACCUUGAUGAACAGAAAAUAGGAUGACAGAAAACAAGUGUGAAAAGCAUUGAUAAUGCUUUUGAGUCAGAGGAAGAGUGAGUGAUGGGUAAAAGGAAAAAAAGAGAGAGAGAUUAAUGGAGGGAUGCUGAUAGGGAAACACACCAACCCGGCUGGUGAGCGCACUCGGCAUCCCCCAUCUCUCCUCCAUCCCCUCCCCUCCCUUGCCUGUCUCUACAUCUCACCUCCUCCCCCAUUCCCUGACUACAUCUAUGUGCGUAAAUGUUUCAUAAUCUCUGUAUUUGUACUCAAAGGGCUUCAGGCUGAAAGAAAAAACACAUCAAUGAAAGAGCCGGGCUUGCUCUCUUUCUCUCUCCUCUGCUCCUUACACAUGGAUGAGUUUGACAGGUGGUCUUCCCGAGCAAUAACACAUUAAUACACAGAGCAAUAAAACACACACACAAAGUACACAGGGGUGAACCUAUAAUAUGUGCCACCCUUAUAAAACAAGAAAUGCAUUUUGUAAUAAGCAAAUGGAAGCAGACUUUCCAUGUAUCAUAGUUGUGCGCUUACUAAGGUAAGUGCCUUAAACAUACUUUCUGCUAGUACAACCAGCUCACCCAAAACCAUUCAUGUGUGCAUCCUUGUUAAACAUACACUAAAUAUUGAUUUCACAUAGAUUUCAAUCUUGGUCAUGAUCUGACUCAGUCAAUAUUAAAGAUAUCAUGUUCAUUACAUUAUGCUGUCCAUUAUUACACCUGUCCAAAACAUAAUGUCUAAUAUAUAUCUUUAUACCCUGAUACAAUUAUCACUUUUGUGUGGCUAUGGCAAAAAAAAGUCACAAAUCUGAAUUUGAUGCUUUAUAUUUAGCUAUAAAGAAGUCACUUGAAUUGUUUAACUUUUUAAUUUUUCCAGAAAUGAAUGACACAUUUAUUUACAUUGAAGAGCAUAGGCCAUAACUAAAGAAGUGUAUUUCAUUUAUUUGAAUAUUUUAAAAUAUUUAUGGAUGGGACGGUAUGAAAAGUUCAUAUCAUGACCAAAGUUAUCACGGUUAUCAAUAUUAUCAUGGUUUUGUUAAAAUUAGAUGGAAAUGCUCAAAAAGAACUG